GAUGAUGACGACCCCAGGUGAAUCUGAGUGUUUCGCUGACGCCAUUCACCGCAGCGCGCUGACU
ensembl:snoRNA SNORD48 small nucleolar RNA, C/D box 48